GGAGGAAAAGAAACCAACUGGGAUUCCCUUAGUAACGGCGAGCGAACAGGGAUGAGUUCAGCGCCGAAUUCCGCGCUCUUUGCGGGCGUCGGAAAAUGUGGCGUUUAGGAGGGAGCGUGCCGGGAGUCUGACCUUGCAGCAAGUCCCCCUGACCGGGGCAGUUACCCAGAGUGGGUGCGAGGCCCAUAGCUGCUCGGUCUCUCUCGGAUGCGACCUCUUGGGAGUCGGGUUGCUUGGGAGUGCAACCCUAAUUGGGUGGUAAACUCCACCUAAAACUAAAUACGGCCGUGAGACCGAUAGCAAACAAGUACCGUGAGGGAAAGUUGCAAAGAACUUUGAAGAGAGAGUUCAAGAGUACGUGAAACUGCUCAGAGGCAAACGGGUGGGCCCUCGAAAUCCGUCGGCGGGGGAUUCAGUCGGGAAGUGCGGGCGCGUGCGCUGGUCGUUUCAUCGGACCCUUUCCUGGGCCGGGCCAGCGUCGCAGUCUCGUGCGACCCGACGCACUUCCUCCCGCCCUGAGGACGCCGCAGCCGGUUGGGUAGCUGCGCGAGUCGGCCAUAAGGACGGGCACGGAAGGUGGCCAGUGGCGUUCUUCGUGUUCGUCGCUGGUCGUUAUCCAGCUCGUCCGUGGCGCGACACCCGACCGUGGUCGAUAGGUCCAGGUUAGGACCUUGCCGUCCCCUCCCACUCACGUGGUUGAGCAGGCGCUCUUGCAGGCGAUUUCCCGUGCGGUCGUCCCACUCUCGUAGUGGCCGGCUCACGGGAGGCGCCGUUGGUGCGGAUGCGACCUGCGAUGGGGUUCCGGCGGCUUGCGGCGAGUAG
rnacentral:rRNA from 1 species